UACGGGGGGGGGCAAGCGUUGUUCGGAAUUACUGGGCGUAAAGGGCGCGUAGGCGGCCUUCUAAGUCGAACGUGAAAUCCCCGGGCUCAACCCGGGAACUGCGUCCGAUACUGGGAGGCUUGAAUCCGGGAGAGGGAUGCGGAAUUCCGAGGUGUAGCGGUGAAAUGCGUAGAUAUCUGGAGGAACACCGGUGGCAAAGGCGGCAUCC
rnacentral:rRNA from 1 species